UUUUUUUGGGGAUAUUUUUAAAGUCUAACCUGCCCACUGAAUAAAUUUUAAAUGGCCGCAGUAUUUUAACUGUGCAAAGGUAGCAUAAUCAUUAGUCUUUUAAUUGAAGGCUGGUAUGAAUGGUUGGACGAAGUAUAAGCUGUUUCAUAUAAAAUUAUAUUAGAAUUUUAUUUUUUAGUUAAAAAGCUAAAAUUUUAUUAAAAGACGAGAAGACCCUAUAAAUCUUUAUAUUUAUGUGUAUAUAAAUUUUAUAAAUUUUUUUUGUUUUUAUAUGUAUAAAUAUUUUAUUGGGGUGAUAUUAAAAUUUAAUAAACUUUUAAUUAAUAUUAAAUCAUUAAUUUAUGAAUUGUUGAUCCAUUAUUAGUGAUUAUAAAAUUAAGUUACUUUAGGGAUAACAGCGUAAUUUUUUUUGAGAGUUCAUAUCGAUAAAAAAGUUUGCGACCUCGAUGUUGGAUUAAGAUAUAUUUUUAGGUGUAGCUGCUUAAAUAUUAAGUCUGUUCGACUUUUAAAUUCUU
rnacentral:rRNA from 1 species